GUAGGGUGCGAGCGUUGUCCGGAAUUAUUGGGCGUAAAGAGCUCGUAGGCGGCCUGUCGCGUCGGAUGUGAAAACUCGGGGCUUAACCCCGAGCCUGCAUUCGAUACGGGCAGGCUAGAGUUCGGCAGGGGAGACUGGAAUUCCUGGUGUAGCGGUGAAAUGCGCAGAUAUCAGGAGGAACACCGGUGGCGAAGGCGGGUCUCUGGGCCGAUACUGACGCUGAGGAGCGAAAGCGUGGGGAGCGAACAGGAUUAGAUACCCUGGUAGUCCACGCCGUAAACGUUGGGAACUAGGUGUGGGCGACAUUCCACGUCGUCCGUGCCGCAGCUAACGCAUUAAGUUCCCCGCCUGGGGAGUACGGCCGCAAGGCUA
rnacentral:rRNA from 1 species